rnacentral:lncRNA from 1 species
AAAGGAAAGCUAUACCUAGGCCCUAGCAACAAAUUUAGAAAACUUAAACAAACAACUUAAAUGAAUUUCAAUUGCCAUAGCUAGUCCUUCAACCAUUUAAUCUUGGCUCACCCUCUCAACUCUAGAUUACUAAAUUGUGGUCGAAUCGGUCAAGAUUGACCUAACCCAACCCAGCUUAACUUUAGCUCGAACCACACAAGAACCAUAGGAAAGGGACACCCUACUAUAUGAAGAUUCACUUUAAUGUUGACUACAUAUUAUCCUAACUCGCAACAAUUUUAUUAUGUUUUUG